UUUCCGUAGGUGAACCUGCGGAAGGAUCAUUACCGAAUUGUCAAACGGGUUGUUGCUGGUCUUCAAACGGGGACAUGUGCACGCUCUGUUUACACAUCCACUCACACCUGUGCACCCUCCGUAGUUCUAUGGUCUGGGGGACCCUGUCUUCCUGGCGUGGUUCUACGUCUUUACACACACUCUGUAAUAAAGUCUUAUGGAAUGUAUGCCGCGUCUAACGCAAUACAAUACAACUUUCAGCAACGGAUCUCUUGGCUCUCACAUCGAUGAAGAACGCAGC
rnacentral:misc_RNA from 1 species